AUAUAUAUAAAAGUAUAGCCGCGCGGCUAUACUAUUUAUUUGAAUUUUUAAAAAAUAGUAUAGCCGUGCGGUUGUACUCUUGUUUUGCA
rnacentral:miRNA from 1 species